GAUGAACGCUGGCGGCGUGCCUAAUACAUGCAAGUCGAGCGAACAGACGAGGAGCUUGCUCCUCUGACGUUAGCGGCGGACGGGUGAGUAACACGUGGAUAACCUACCUAUAAGACUGGGAUAACUUCGGGAAACCGGAGCUAAUACCGGAUAAUAUAUUGAACCGCAUGGUUCAAUAGUGAAAGACGGUUUUGCUGUCACUUAUAGAUGGAUCCGCGCCGCAUUAGCUAGUUGGUAAGGUAACGGCUUACCAAGGCAACGAUGCGUAGCCGACCUGAGAGGGGGAUCCGCCACACUGGAACUGAGACCCCGGCCAGACCCCUACGGGAGGCAGCAGUUGGGAAUCUUCCGCAAUGGGCGAAAGCCUGACGGAGCAACGCCGCGUGAGUGAUGAAGGUCUUUGGAUCGUAAAACUCUGUUAUUAGGGAAGAACAAAUGUGUAAGUAACUAUGCACGUCUUGACGGUACCUAAUCAGAAAGCCACGGCUAACUACGUG
rnacentral:rRNA from 1 species